GCUAUGGAUGAAACACGCACGAGGGAGAACGAGGACUUGGAGGAAGACUGGAUAAAAGGGCUGCGACGGGAGCCUAGCUGGCAGGUCAUAUUUUUGGUUUCACAGUGCUGCCCUGUCCUGGAGGUCAAGGGCACAUUAUGAUAAUUACUGAGAGAGGACAGACUUUGUAGAAGACAAACCCCAGAGGAUGUGUCCUGCUUGUCAGAGGCGUCAGAGGCAUCUGGAUUGGGCGCUCUUGGAAACGCAAUGUUGAGAAUCGUAGAAUCUAGUCCACUAGAUAGCCUCUUAGGCUGAUCCAGCAAGGCAGUUUGGGACAUGCAGUUCCACAUGGCAAAGCAAGAGCAGACCUUUGCCAAGACGUCGUGAUGAGUAGAAAAUAAUGGAACUGCUGCUUGUAUUGUGUCAAACAUGGUUUCAGCACCUUAGAAAGUGCUUAAUAUAUGUAACUUUGCUUUAGUCCCUUUUUCUUUUGAGGCACAUUUUGGAAGAGCAAAUGGCAUUAUGUAGAUGCAGAAACCAUUAAGGUUUCUGGUGCCCUGUGGUAGGGAGAAAUAUAUUAAAAAUUGAU